rnacentral:rRNA from 1 species
GGAGCUGCUUCUCUGAGACUUAGCGGCGGACGGGUGAGUAACACGUAGGUAACCUGCCCAUAAGACUGGGAUAACUACCGGAAACGGUAGCUAAUUACCGGAUAGGUUCUUCUCUCGCAUGGGAGRGGAAAGAAAGACGGAGCAAUCUGUCACUUAUGGAUGGACCUGCGGCGCAUUAGCUAKUUGGUGGGGUAACGGCUCACCAAGGCGACGAUGCGUAGCCGACCUGAGAGGGUGAUCGGCCACACUGGGACUGAGACACGGCCCAGACUCCUACGGGAGGCAGCAGUAGGGAAUCUUCCGCAAUGGGCGAAAGCCUGACGGAGCAACGCCGCGUGAGUGAUGAAGGUUUUCGGAUCGUAAAGCUCUGUUGCCAGGGAAGAACGUCUCUUAGAGUAACUGCUAAGAGAGUGACGGUACCUGAGAAGAAAGCCCCGGCUAACUACGUGCCAGCAGCCGCGGUAAUACGUAGGGGGCAAGCGUUGUCCGGAAUUAUUGGGCGUAAAGCGCGCGCAGGCGGUCAUUUAAGUUGGGUGUUUAACCCAGGGCUCAACCCUGGGGUCGCACCCAAAACUGGAUGACUUGAGUGCAAAAAAAGAAAGUGGAAUUCCACGUUGUANCGGUGANGUGCCUUAAAGAUGUGGANGAACACCANUGGCGAAGGCGACUCUCUGGGCUGUNACUGACCUGANGCNCAAAACGUGGGGAACAACANGAUUAAAUACCUGGUAUCCCNCCUUAACAAAAAUGCANGUUUAGGGUUCANACCUUGUGCCAAUUAAAAUUAACAUCCCCUGGGAUNNGNCCAAUGACCAAGGAUUUCGGGACCCAACANGGUUUUUGUUAUUCACACCNAAACC